UCAAUAAGCGGAGGAAAAGAAACUAACAAGGAUUCCCCUAGUAACUGCGAGUGAAGCGGGAAAAGCUCAAAUUUAAAUCUGAUAGUCUUUGGCUGUCCGAGUUGUAAUUUAGAGAAGUGUUACCCGUGCUGGACCAUGGAUAAGUUUCCUGGAAUGGGGCAUCAUAGAGGGUGAGAAUCCCGUCUUUGACAUGGACUGCCAGUACAUUGUGGUAUGCUCUCAACGAGUCGAGUUGUUUGGGAAUGCAGCUCAAAAUGGGUGGUAAAUUCCAUCUAAAGCUAAAUAUAGACGAGAGACCGAUAGCGAACAAGUACCGUGAGGGAAAGAUGAAAAGAACUUUGGAAAGAGAGUUAAACAGUACGUGAAAUUGCUGAAAGGGAAACGCUUGAAGUUAGUCACAUUAGCUUGAGAUCAACCUGGCUUUUGCUUGGUGUAUUCUCUAGUUGAUGGGUCAACAUCAGUUUUGAUCAUUGGAUAAGAGUUGAGGGAAUGUGGCUCCUUUAGGAGUGUUAUAGCCUUUAGCUGUAUACAUUGGUUGGGACUGAGGAUCUCAGCACGCCGCAAGGCCGAGUUUNGACUACGUUCGUGCUUAGGAUGUUGGCAUAAUAGCUUUAAGCGACCCGUCUUGAAACACGGACCAAGGAGUCUAACAUGCAUGCGAGUGUUUGGGUGGAAAACCCGAGCGCGUAAUGAAAGUGAAAAUUAAGAUCUCUGUCAUGGAGAGCAUUGAUGCCCAGACCAGAACUUUUGGGACGGAUCUGCGGUUGAGCAUGUACGUUGGGACCCGAAAGAUGGUGAACUAUGCCUGAAUAGGGUGAAGCCAGAGGAAACUCUGGUGGAGGCUCGUAGCGAUUCUGACGUGCAAAUCGAUCGUCGAAUUUGGGUAUAGGGGCCGAAAGACUAAUCGAACCAUCUAGUAGCUGGUUCCU
rnacentral:rRNA from 1 species